rnacentral:rRNA from 1 species
CUGACGGAGCAACGCCGCGUGAGGGACGAAGGCCUCUGGGCUGUAAACCUCUUUUCUCAAGGAAGAAGAUAUGACGGUACUUGAUGAAUAAGCCACGGCUAAUUCCGUGCCAGCAGCCGCGGUAAUACGGGAGUGGCAAGCGUUAUCCGGAAUUAUUGGGCGUAAAGCGUCCGCAGGCGGCCUUUCAAGUCUGCUGUUAAAACGUGGAGCUUAACUCCAUCAUCGCAGUGGAAACUGUAGGGCUUGAGUGUGGUAGGGGCAGAGGGAAUUCCCGGUGUAGCGGUGAAAUGCGUAGAUAUCGGGAAGAACACCAGUGGCGAAGGCGCUCUGCUGGGCCAUUACUGACGCUCAUGGACGAAAGCCAGGGGAGCGAAAGGGAUUAGAUACCCCUGUAGUCCUGGCCGUAAACGAUGAACACUAGGUGUCGGGGGAAUCGACCCCUUCGGUGUCGUAGCCAACGCGUUAAGUGUUCCGCCUGGGGAGUACGCACGCAAGUGUGAAACUCAAAGGAAUUGACGGGGGCCCGCACAAGCGGUGGAGUAUGUGGUUUAAUUCGAUGCAACGCGAAGAACCUUACCAGGGUUUGACAUCCUGAGAACCUCUUAGAAAUUUGAGGGUGCCUUCGGGAAUUCAGUGACAGGUGGUGCAUGGCUGUCGUCAGCUCGUGUCGUGAGAUGUUGGGUUAAGUCCCGCAACGAGCGCAACCCACGUUUUUAGUUGCCAGCAUUUAGUUGGGCACUCUAGAAAGACCGCCGGUGAUAAACCGGAGGAAGGUGUGGAUGACGUCAAGUCAUCAUGCCCCUUACACCCUGGGCUACACACGUACUACAAUGCUACGGACAAAGGGCAGCAA